rnacentral:rRNA from 1 species
AUUCCAGCUCCAAUAGCGUAUAUUAAAGUUGUUGCGGUUAAAAAGCUCGUAGUUGGAUCUCAGUUCCGGACCCGCAGUGCGCCCUCGGCGAUUUACUGUGAGUCCGAACAGCUCGUCGGCUCGCACGGGGUGUUCUUUAUCGGGUGUCCCGCGUGGCCGGCACGUUUACUUUGAAAAAAUUAGAGUGCUCAAAGCAGGCUAAUGCCUGAAUAGUUGUGCAUGGAAUAAUGGAAUAGGACCUCGGUUCUAUUUUGUUGGUUUUCGGAACCCGAGGUAAUGAUUAAUAGAGACGGACGGGGGCAUUCGUAUUGCGACGCUAGAGGUGAAAUUCUUAGACCGUCGCAAGACGUACUACUGCGAAAGCAUUUGCCAAGAACGUUCUCAUUAAUCAAGAACGAAAGUUAGAGGUUCGAAGGCGAUCAGAUACCGCCCUAGUUCUAACCAUAAACGAUGCUGACUAGCGAUCCGUCUGUGUUAAUCCCAUGACUAGACGGGCAGCUUCCGGGAAACCAAAGUCUUUGAGUUCCGGGGGAAGUAUGGUUGCAAAGCUGAAACUUAAAGGAAUUGACGGAAGGGCACCACCAGGAGUGGAGCCUGCGGCUUAAUUUGACUCAACACGGGGAACCUCACCAGGCCCGGACGCCGGAAGGAUUGACAGAUUGAGAGCUC